AAUCUCUCCUUCAAUUGAUAUCUUCUUCAUCAUCCCACCGUUUCUCAAGGCUCUCUCUCUCUAUCUUUCUUUCUGUUUUUAUUUUAUUUUUCUCUCUCAAAUGGAAGGGAGAGAAGAGCUCCCAUGGAUGGAAAGGUCAAGGCCAAAGGUUCUUCAAGGCAAUAAGAGAAACAUAAACCAUGUGAAGCAUAUGGAUUAUUGGAUCGGUUGUGCUGAGAAAUUGGGCUUUUCUUCUGAACUCCAGUUUCAUUGAUCAACCGGUGUUAUCCUCUCUGAGCUUUUAGUCCCUCCAUUUUUUUUCCAAUUAUUAUGUUUCAUUCAUAUGAUGCAUUGCAUUAUUCUCUUUUCUUGACCUUGUAAGGCCUUUUCUUGACCUUGUAAGACCCCAUCCCUUUCUAAAUGUGUCAGUAUUUUCUCAUUUUACAGAUUCUAUUCUAUCUCUUCUCCACAUAGAAUAGAUAUCUAUCUCUACCUCUAAUUCGUUCGAGUCAUCUUCUCCUACCUUGUCUAUCCCUCCUGAGCUAAUCUUUACAUCUUUUGAUUGUCAUUGAUGUACAGCUUUGAUAUAAAUUCAAUAAAGAAGUUGAACGUUUCCCUUCUUCUUAUAUGA